rnacentral:rRNA from 1 species
AUUGAACGCUGGCGGCAGGCUUAACACAUGCAAGUCGAGCGGAGAUGAGGUGCUUGCACCUUAUCUUAGCGGCGGACGGGUGAGUAAUGCUUAGGAAUCUGCCUAUUAGUGGGGGACAACAUUCCGAAAGGAAUGCUAAUACCGCAUACGUCCUACGGGAGAAAGCAGGGGAUCUUCGGACCUUGCGCUAAUAGAUGAGCCUAAGUCGGAUUAGCUAGUUGGUGGGGUAAAGGCCUACCAAGGCGACGAUCUGUAGCGGGUCUGAGAGGAUGAUACGCCAAACUGGGGCUGAGACACGGCCCAGACUCCUACGGGAGGCAGGAGUGGGGAAUAUUGGACAAUGGGGGGAACCCUGAUCCAGCAAUGCCGCGUGUGUGAAGAAGGCCUUAUGGUUGUAAAGCACUUUAAGCGAGGAGGAGGCUACUGAGACUAAUACUCUUGGAUAGUGGACGUUACUCGCAGAAUAAGCACCGGCUAACUCUGUGCCAGCAGCCGCGGUAA